rnacentral:lncRNA from 1 species
UGGGAAAAGAUGUGAUAUGAUGACUGAUGGAUGUGACCAACAGAUGGAUGAUGUGACACGAUGGUAGCACAAAAAAGGAGGCAACAACACGCUGCCCUAAUCGGCCAUGCACUGCAGGCUUAGUCUGUGUGCAUGUAGGACUUAUAGCGCCCAAGGUGUUGCGCGCAAGCCUACUGCGUGGACGGUGCAUGCACAGGGCACAUAGACCGAGCUUCGCGCCUCAUGCGGAUAGGACAUGCGCACAGUGGUGACGUCCUAUGUUGGCCACUCAAGCAGUGUGCGAUGCCCGCGUGGGCAAAACCCUUCCUAAGGGUGUUUUCCAGCAGGAUUUCUGCCUUUUGU